UAACGCGUGGGGAACCUGCCCUACUACAGGGGGAGUAACAGCUGGAAACGGUUGCUAAUACCGCAUAAGCGCACAGAAUCGCAUGAUUCAGUGUGAAAAGCCCUGGCAGUAUAGGAUGGUCCCGCGUCUGAUUAGCUGGUUGGUGAGGUAACGGCUCACCAAGGCGACGAUCAGUAGCCGGCUUGAGAGAGUGAACGGCCACAUUGGGACUGAGACACGGCCCAA
rnacentral:rRNA from 1 species